CGGCUGCUGUGGUGAUCCCAGGCACCCCUGCCUGCCCCGGCCUGCCCCGGCCUGCCCUGGCCCACGCCCCGCCCCGAAGGAACCCUGCGCAGGCCAGCGGGCAGGAAGAGCUGGGCAGCUGUCCAGGCCCUCCAGCAGGGGCUCCCUGGCAGGGGCUCCCUGGAGGUGCCUGUGUUCCAGCCUCGGCUUGCUCACCCAAGCCCUGACAAAAAGAGGGAGGCAUCCCAGGGGAGUCCAGGUCCUUUCAGAGCAAAGAGGCCCCCCACCUGUGACCCCAGGGCAGGCGUGACCAGCCAGGCACCAAGCCGCGGGACAAACGUGGCAGGACCCUGGACCAGGAGGGGACCCAGGGACACUCAGGCCAGACCUCCCACUGAAGUGACAGCCCGGGCUCUCAGACCCGUUCCCAGACCACACUCCAGGGCGGCCACAGCCUCAAGGAACA
rnacentral:lncRNA from 1 species